CUUUAUUUUCGGUCGGACAAAAUGUGGCUUUACACCGUGUCAGACUGGCAUGGCUGUCUCCUCUAGUCUUGUCCUUCGUUAUCUCUACUUAAAUGAUGUUAUCUUUCAACCGUUUGUUGUCAACAAAUUAUACCUUCACCACUUGUCUUCGACGAAAAUCCCAACCACAUAUAAGCUCCCAUUAUAGAAAUGUACCGCCCUACAAACGAUGUGUGUCUUCAGUUAAACAUAACGAAAGCUCAUCACCUCGCAAAAGUAACUUUGAAACUUUCAGAGAAAAACUCGUGCACGGACCCAACUUUGAUGACUUCUUAUGCAAUAAUUCAAAUGAAACAAUUAUUAAACAGAACAAUAUCCCUGCAGAAAUAACCAAUGACAUACCUUAUUUACAUAAAUCUCUAUUUAAGGGCCAACGACGUAGAGUUUAUCUUGAAACCUAUGGUUGUCAGAUGAAUGUUAAUGAUACAGAUAUUGUCUGGUCAAUAUUGGAGAAGGAGGAUUUUGAAAGAAGUUUUGAUAUCAAAAAUUGUGAUGUAGCAUUCCUGAUGACCUGUUCUAUUCGAGAGGGAGCUGAAACUAAGAUAUGGAAACGUCUAGAAUACUUGAACUUCUUAAAGAAGAAAAGAAAAAGAAACUCUAUGAAAAUUGGAAUUUUGGGAUGUAUGGCAGAGCGGCUGAAAACCAAGAUUCUGGAACAAAGCAAGGCUGUUGAUAUUGUUUGUGGUCCUGAUGCAUAUCGAGAUCUCCCUCACCUUUUGGCAGUUUCCUAUGAAGGGCAGACUGCAGUGAAUGUUCUAUUGUCUUUGGAAGAAACUUAUGCUGAUAUUAUGCCAGUUCAUGUUAAUAACACCAGUAAAUCUGCUUUUGUGUCAAUCAUGCGUGGUUGUGAUAAUAUGUGUUCCUAUUGCAUUGUGCCCUUUACACGGGGACGAGAACGGAGUAGGCCAGUGGAUUCUAUCCUGGAAGAAAUUCGCAUCUUAUCAGAUCAGGGCAUCAAAGAAGUCACACUUUUGGGUCAGAAUGUGAAUAGUUACCGUGACCUUUCCACAUGGCAAAGUGGUGUUGACCUCAACCCCACGCAGAUGGCAUCAGGCUUUAAAACUGUAUAUAAAUCUAAAAAAGGGGGACUGCGUUUUGCUGACUUAUUGGACAAAGUUGCUUCCAUAAAUCCAGAAAUGCGAAUCCGUUUUACAUCACCUCAUCCAAAGGAUUUCCCAGAUUCAGUGUUGCAGUUAAUCAAAGAAAAGCCCAAUAUUUGCAAACAGAUUCACCUCCCUGCACAAAGUGGUAACAACUUUAUCUUGGAACAGAUGCGACGUGGAUAUACAAGAGAAGCUUACCUUGAUCUUGUUCAUCAUGUUCGUCAUGUGAUUCCAGACAUAAGCCUGUCCAGUGACUUCAUAGCUGGUUUCUGUGGUGAGACAGAGGCAGCUCAUCGUGACACCGUCUCCUUGAUGGAAGAGGUCUGCUACAACUUUGCCUUCACUUUCCCAUACAGUAUGAGGCAGAAAACCCGUGCUCACCAUCGACUCAUUGAUGAUGUCCCCAGUGAGAUUAAAGCCAGGCGACAGGCUGAACUGGCAGAGACAUUUCGCAAAGGAGCUUUAGAACUGAACACACAGCAGAUUGGGCAGUUACAAAUUGUUCUCAUCAGUGGAACGAGUAAGCGGUCUCAACUGGAUCUUGCUGGCCGGAAUGAUGGCAACACAAAAGUUAUUAUACCACAGACCAAAAUACCAAUUUUUGAAGAAGCAGAGCCAACAAGAACAAUAGAAGUGGGUGACUACAUUGUUGUUCGAAUAACUGGUGCCUCUUCUCAAGUGCUGAAAGGUGAACCUCUGUACCACACAACUUUGGUAAACUUCAGCAGAAAACAAACCCCCCAAAGAAUCCAAUAUUGCCACAGUUAAUUGGUCAUUUGCUUGAGUAAUAGGAGUGAAAUCUACAUUUCAACCUCAUCAAUUUGCAGUCAAGAGAACACAACUAAAUCUUUCUCAAGUCAACCCUACCAUCUUAAAACAAAGCAUUUAAUUGUAUAACUUAGAAUACAAUUAAAAAAAAAAAGCAGUGA
rnacentral:misc_RNA from 1 species